rnacentral:sRNA from 1 species
AGUGAACUGUGAGGAGUUUGAGGGGGUCUGAAGACUGAGAGAGUCGAAUGGUUUGUUGGCAGGGUCUCCUGGUGGAUUGGUUUCUCUAAGUUCAGAUUUUCAUAAAUCGUGUGAGCGUCGCCGACACCUCUGAGAUAAAAAGGCCCCUUUCGACUAGCCUCUGCUGAAAGGACCUAGAAGAAUCCUUUAGGAUGAAGCUGAGUCUUACCAAGGUAGUUAAUGGCUGUCGCCUAGGAAAAAUAAAAAACCUGGGCAAAACAGGGGACCACACCAUGGAUAUUCCAGGCUGCCUUCUGUACACCAAGACUGGCUCCGCCCCACACCUCACCCAUCACACGCUGCAUAAUAUCCAUGGGGUUCCUGCCAUGGCUCAGCUUACGCUGUCAUCCCUAGCAGAACAUCAUGAAGUCUUGAGAGAAUAUAAAGAAGGAGUUGGAAAGUUUAUAGGUAAAAAUUAAGUUACUUAUAUGUGCCUUGUGAUGUGUUAAUUUGGAGUUUGGAGGUGCUG